ACGGAAGGCAGCAGUAGGGAAUUUUCGGCAAUGGGCGAAAGCCUGACCGAGCAAUGCCGCGUGAACGAAGAAGUAUUUCGGUAUGUAAAGUUCUUUUAUCAGGGAAGAAAAGAAAAGAUUGACGGUACCUGAUGAAUAAGCACCGGCUAACUACGUGCCAGCAGCCGCGGUAAUACGUAGGGUGCGAGCGUUAUCCGGAAUUAUUGGGCGUAAAGGGUGCGUAGAUGGCAAUAAAAGUCAGUUGUUAAAGAUCAGGGCUCAACCCUGUAGUGCAACUGAAACUGUAUAGCUAGAGUAUGGAAGAGGCAAGUGGAACUCCAUGUGUAGCGGUAAAAUGCGUAAAUAUAUGGAAGAACACCAGUGGCGAAGGCGGCUUGCUAGUCCGAUACUGACAUUGAGGCACGAAAGCGUGGGGAGCAAACAGGAUUAGAUACCCUGGUA
rnacentral:rRNA from 1 species